GGCGGGCUUCCUCUUUGUUUGGCAGCCAGGAGUCUGGAGCGCAGGUGCCGGGCAGGCAGCACUGGGAGCGCUCGGCGACUUGGCUGGAGGCCGAAGGUGCCGCCCCUGGGGAACCAGAGCGCCUUUGCAAGAAGGAGUCUCGCUCUGACACCCAGGCUGGAGUGCAGUGGCGCGAUCUCGGCUCACCGCAAGCUCCGCCUCCCGGGUUCACGCCAUUCUCUGCCUCAACCUCCCGAGUAGCUGGGACUACAAGCGCCUGCCACCACGACCGGCUAAUUUUUGUAUUUUUAGUAGAGAUAAGGUUUCACUGUGCUAGCCAGGAUGGUCUCGAUCUCCUGACCUCGUGAUCCGCCCGUCUCGGCCUCCCAAAGUGUAGGGAUUACCGUCGUGAGCCACCACGACCGGCCCCUGAGAGAAGGCAUUCUUGUCUUGUGCCAGUUUUCAAAAAGAAAUGGUUUCAACUUGCAUCUAUUUGGUAUAUUGGCUGUGGGUUUUUCAUAGAUAACUCAUUAUUUUGAAGAAUGUACCUUCAAUGCCUAGUCUAUUGAGGGUGAUAACAUAAAGGAUGUUAAACUUUAUUGAAAGAUUUUUCUGCAUCUAUUGAGAUAAUCUUGUGGGUUUUGUCUUUAUUUCUGUUUAUGCGAUGAAUCACUUUUAUUGAUUUGAAGCAACCCUGCAUCCAGGGAUAAAGCUUACUUGAUCAUAGUCGACUGACUUUUAUUUUAUUUAUUUAUUUUUUGAGAUGGAGUCUCAUUUUCUCGCCUAGGCUGGAGUGCAGUGGCGUGAUAUCAGCUCACCGCAACCUCCGCCUCCCGGGUUCAAGCGAUUCUCCUGCCUCAGCCUUCCAAGUAGCUGGGAUUACAGGUGCCUGUCACCAUGCCCGCCUAAUUUUUGUAUUUUUAGUAGAAACGAGGUUUCACCAUUUUGGCCAGGCUGGUCUCGAACUCCUGACCUCAGGUGAUCCACCCACCUCGGCUUCCCAAAGUGCUGGGAUUACAGGCGUGAGCCACCACACCCAACCCAUAGUCGAUUAACUUUUUGAUGUGCUUCUGGAUUUGGUUUGUCAGUAUUUUGUUGGGAAUUUUUUAUCAAUGUUUAUUAAGAAUAUUGGCCUGAGGUUUUCUUUGUUUUGUUUUGUCUCUGCUAGGUUUUGGUAUCAGAAUGAUGCUGUUCUUAUAUAACGAGUUGGGGAGGAGUUCCUUCUCAAUUAUUUGGAAUAGUUUUAGUAGGAAUAAUAGCAGUUCUUUGUACAUCUGGUAGAAUUCAGCUGUAAGUCUGUCUGGUCCUGGGCUUUUUUUGGUUGGUAGGCUGUUUAUUACUAAUUAAAUUUUGGAGCUUUUUAUUGUUCUAUUAAGGGAUUCAGUUUUUGUUGUUGUUGUUGUUCAAUCUUGGGAAGAUGUAUUUGUCCAGGAAUUCAUUCAUUUCUUCUAGAUUUUCUAGUUUGUGUGCGUAGAAAUGUUCACUGUAGACUUUAAUUAUUAUUUGUAUUUUUGUUGGGUAUUGUCUGUUUUAUCAUUUCUAAUUGUUUCUUCAUUAAUCUAGCUAGUGGCUUAUUUAUUCUUCAUUAAUCUAGCUAGUGGCUUAUUUAUUCUUCAUUAAUCUAGCUAGUGGUUUAUAUUAUUAAUUUUUUCAAAAAAUUUACUCUUCGAUUUCUCCAUCUUUCUUGUAGUUUUUUAUGUUUAAAUCUUCUUCAGUUCAGAUGUGAUUUUUGUUAUAUCUUGUCUUCUGCUAGCUUAAGGGUUGAUUUGUUCUUGCUUCUCUCAUUCUUCUAUUUAUGACAUCGGGUUGUUAAAUGGAGAUUUUUCUAACUUUUUGAUGUGAGCACUUAGUUUAUAGCACUGCCUUAGUUGUGUUGCAGUGAUUCUGCUGUGUUGUAUUUUUGUUCUCACGUAUUUCAAAGAACUUCUCAAUUUCAUUUUAGUCAUUCAAGUGUAGGUUGUUUAAUUUUUUAUGUGUCUGGUUUCAAGUGCUUUUAUUUGUAUUGAAUUAUAUUUUUAUCAAGCUGCAGUCUGAGUGUGUUGCUGAUAUGAUUUGGGGAUUUUUGAAUUUGCUGAGGAUUGCUUUAGUUUUAAAUGUGUGGUCAGUUUUAAAGUAUGUGCUCUGUGGUAAUGAGAACGAUGUAUAUUAUGUUGUCUUUAGAUGGAGAGUUCUGUAGGUGUCUGUUAGGACAAUUUGGUCAAGUGUUGAGUUCAGGUCCUAAUAUCUUUGUGGUUUUUUUUUCCUCAGUAAUCCAUUUAUUAGUGUCUGUGGGGUGUUGUAGUUUCCUCCUAUUAUUGUGUCAGAGUCUGUCUUCAUAAGUCACUAAGAACUUGCUUUAUUUAUUUGCACCCAUAAAUUUAUAUAACACAUUUUUCUCUUCUGCUUUUUUCCCCAUAAACACAGUGUGCCCAAGGCUAUUCCACAGAUGUCUGAAUUCAUUGUCUACUGAAAUUCCGACGUCUUGACAGUUCAACAUGUUCCAGGACAUGGCUGUUGUAGGAAAAAAUAUGAAUUAGAAAUAAGAGGAUUUAUUCACAUACCUUAAAAUAAAGGAGAAUAUUUUGCUCUUCUCUCUUUUCUUAUAGCAUUUAUAUUAUAUGUAGACAAUUUUCUCUGUUUUUUUUGAAAUAUAUGGAAGUCAUAUUAACAGCUAAAUAAACCUUUUGGCAUUCUUUUUUA
rnacentral:lncRNA from 1 species